rnacentral:rRNA from 1 species
GACGAACGCUGGCGGCGUGCCUAAUACAUGCAAGUAGAACGCUGAAGGAGGAGCUUGCUUCUCUGGAUGAGUUGCGAACGGGUGAGUAACGCGUAGGUAACCUGCCUGGUAGCGGGGGAUAACUAUUGGAAACGAUAGCUAAUACCGCAUAAUAGCAGUUGUUGCAUGACAACUGUUUGAAGGGUGCAAUUGCACCACUACCAGAUGGACCUGCGUUGUAUUAGCUAGUUGGUGGGGUAACGGCUCACCAAGGCGACGAUACAUAGCCGACCUGAGAGGGUGAUCGGCCACACUGGGACUGAGACACGGCCCAGACUCCUACGGGAGGCAGCAGUAGGGAAUCUUCGGCAAUGGACGGAAGUCGGACCGAGCAACGCCGCGUGAGUGAAGAAGGUUUUCGGAUCGUAAAGCUCUGUUGUAAGAGAAGAACGAGUGUGAGAGUGGAAAGUUCACACUGUGACGGUAUCUUACCAGAAAGGGACGGCUAACUACGUG